rnacentral:rRNA from 1 species
GUCUACGGCCAUGCCACCCUGAACAAGUCAGAUCUCGUCUGAUCUCGGAAGCUAAGCAGGGUUGGGCCUGGUUAGUACUUGGAUGAGAGGCCACCUAGGAAGACCAGAUGCUGUAGUGU